UACGUAGGGGGCAAGCGUUGUCCGGAUUUAUUGGGCGUAAAGAGCGUGUAGGCGGCUUUACAGGUCCGUUGUGAAAACUCGAGGCUCAACCUCGAGACGCCGGUGGAAACCGUAAGGCUAGAGUCCGGAAGAGGAGAGUGGAAUUCCUGGAUGUAGCGGUGAAAUGCGCAGAUAUCAGGAAGAACACCCGUGGCGAAGGCGGCUCUCUGGGACGGUACUGACGCUGAGACGCGAAGCGUGGGAGCGAACAGG
rnacentral:rRNA from 1 species